rnacentral:tRNA from 1 species
AGAGAGAUGGCUCAGCGGUUAAGAGCACUGAGUGAUGUUCCAGAGGACCUGGGUUCAAUUCCUAGGCUGUCUG